UCCUCCUUAGCUCAGUUGGUAGAGCGCGUCACUUGUAAUUUCUUGUGUUCCACAUGAACUUUAAGUUCAUGACGAGGUCAGUCGUUCGAGUCGGCUAGGUGGAA